rnacentral:miRNA from 1 species
ACACAUUUACUCCCUCUAUCCCAGAAAAAAACAAUUCCUAGCUUUGCAUUUGGAUAAACAAUUGUUCAGAUUUAAAGUUAGAAAUUGUUUUUUUUCUAGGACAGAGGGAGUAGAUGUGUAA